GCUGGGCGAGGUGGUGCAUGCCUUUAAUCCCAGCACUUGGGAAGCAGAGGCAGGCGGAUCUCUGUGAGUUCAAGGCCAGCCUGGUCUACAUAGUGAGUUCCAGGACAGCUGGGGCUAUAGAGAUACCCUGUCUCAAAAAGACCAAAUAAAUAAAUAAAUAACAUUUUAUUUUGAGACAGGGUCUCCCUGUAGCCUCAGCUGGCCUGGAACUUGAUAUAUAGACCAGGCUAGCCUCAAUCACACAGAGAUCCACCUGCCUCU
rnacentral:sRNA from 1 species